GGGUAAAAGCUGACUUGGCAGAAGCUGUCUGAUACUGUGGGUCAUCCUGACCUUGAGACUGUGCAACGUGCCCUGGCAGAUUCAGAGUGUGUCCUGCUAGAACCCAUGUGCUGGACUCAUUUCCAAGUGUGCCUGCAGCAUGCAUUCAUUACUGCAUCUGAUGGAAGCACAAAGGGAGAGACAAAGAUGCAGAGAACAAUGCUCAGAAUGGCUGUAUUGCACACAGUCCUCUUCUGAGGACCCAUUCCUGAAAGAAAGCAGGCCAUGCUGGUCUCAGUAUUUGCAUGGAAGGAUAUCUGCCAGUGAAUGAGUCUGUUGAAAUCACCACACCAAAUUCAACAUUAAGGGCCAACCCUGACCACAGCUGAGCCGUGUGAAGAGGCUGACAGCGGCGUGGCCACCACCCAGGAUGGAGAGAAAGGCAUCGUGAGGUGUUAAUGGAAAAAUCCAACUUCCUUUUCUUCCAAAGAUGAUGACUGAAACCAAAGUGGAGCUUUCCCUUGUGAAGUGAAAGCAAAGUUUUAAAAUUUUUUCUCCUCUGCAAGAAAAUAUAUUUCAGAAAAUCCCUAUCUCAAAAAUGAAGCAAUUAAGAACUGUCUGGCUGUGAGGAUCUGGCCUCAACUUGACUUAAAGCAACUACUUCAGUUACGUAUCAAGAUGUGCGUGAGAAUGAACCUGCUCUGCUCAGCCAACGUGCUGAGUGACUUGAUGUUUGUAAUAAAUAAACAAAUAAACAACAAACAGGUUGUCAUGAAA
rnacentral:lncRNA from 1 species